rnacentral:rRNA from 1 species
GCUUAACCGGAGAAGUGCAUCGGAAACUGGGAGACUUGGGUGCAGAAGAGGACAGUGGAACUCCAUGUGUAGCGGUGAAAUGCGUAGAUAUAUGGAAGAACACCAGUGGCGAAGGCGGCUGUCUGGUCUGUAACUGACGCUGAGGCUCGAAAGCAUGGGUAGCGAACAGGAUUAGAUACCCUGGUAGUCCAUGCCGUAAACGAUGAAUGCUAGGUGUUGGAGGGUUUCCGCCCUUCAGUGCCGCAGCUAACGCAUUAAGCAUUCCGCCUGGGGAGUACGACCGCAAGGUUGAAACUCAAAGGAAUUGACGGGGGCCCGCACAAGCGGUGGAGCAUGUGGUUUAAUUCGAAGCUACGCGAAGAACCUUACCAGGUCUUGACAUACUGUGCUAACCUAAGAGAUUAGGCGUUCCCUUCGGGGACGCAGAUACAGGUGGUGCAUGGCUGUCGUCAGCUCGUGUCGUGAGAUGUUGGGUUAAGUCCCGCAACGAGCGCAACCCUUAUUGUCAGUUGCCAGCAUUCAGUUGGGCACUCUGGCGAGACUGCCGGUGACAAACCGGAGGAAGGUGGGGAUGACGUCAAGUCAUCAUGCCCCUUAUGACCUGGGCUACACACGUGCUACAAUGGAUGGUACAACG